rnacentral:misc_RNA from 1 species
GCAAGAUGAAAAGAUUCAUUAAUUAAUCCAAACCAAUUUACAAUAAUCUUGUACUGAACCCAUAACCCAGAAUGCUUUAAAAAACUGACCCCUUCUACAGAUUCAUCUCUCACAAAGCUAAAAACUCAUAAUCUCACACUAAUUGGAGAACAGUUUGUUGCACUCACUUUCCGGGAACAAAGUUUGUGGCAAAAGCCCAGGCGUUGUUGUUAACUGGGUCAGCAAUGUGGUCGGCAAGGUUCUCCAACGGACCCUUUCCGGUGACAAUAGCUUGAACAAAGAAUCCA